CACAGAAACAUCCAGGUUGGAAAAGACCCUCAGGAUCACCAAGUCCAACCUAUAGCUCUACAAGAUUCUCCUUGGGGACUGUCCUUGGAGGUACUGUGACUGCUGCACCUUUGCAGGGAUUCUUCAAACUUGGGGCUGCCUUCUCCUCUCCACAAAAAGAGAAGCAUCAAUCACUUCAUAAAGUCCACAAAGAAUUUUGGGCUUCAAAACUGAACGUACCGUCCUGACCUCCAGCCAUCUGUUGGCAGCCGACAGAAACAAGAGACUUUUGAAUCACCUCUUGACCUCCUCCACAGCCUAGGCUUGCAGG